GACAGCAACCCAAAAAAGUUCAGUCCAGUCUGAUAAUCAGUCUAGUCAGUGACAUAUUAAAACUAAAACACCAUUCCGCGUUGAAACUCCAUGCUCUGCUUUGUUUAGGCUAGCCUCUGGCCGGGAGGAGACUUGACCGGCCUCUUCUCUCUGCCCUCAGUCACUUUUCCUCCUCAGACAGUCACUCCUCUGUGGUCAAACCAUGGGAAGAGUAGUCUAGGAAUAAGAACAGUUUUGUGUGGCUGCCUCAGUUGUCCUCUGACCUUGGGGCUAUGGAGGCCCACACACAAUGCUGCUCUUUCUCUUUUAAGGGCCGCUGUGGGGAGUUUCUCAGACACCGCCCUCCACAGACUUUUCUAGAGCAGCUCCUUUAGCAUGAGAAGUCAGUGUCUCUCCUUCAGCUGUCUGUCCGCCGCUGUCCCUUCAGUGCCUGGCUUCCUGGUAGGCUGGUUCCUCCCUGUUGGGGUCCUGGUGCUCUCAGGUUGUUUAGGAGUUCUCUUUUAUUGGGACCACAGGUCAGCUCCGUCUGUGGGGAAAGACAUUCAGUCCUCAGGUAACAGGAAUGGCUAGUGGAUACCUGGACAGUGGAAAUGCAGGUCUCUCCCAACUCAACCUGACUUCUUGCUGCUUCGCUGCCUCAGCCUCAUCUAGCCAAGCCCUUACAGCUUUUAACUUUUCAAAGGUAGGUCAGACAUUCUUUCAUAGGUUCCUCAAGCUCCAGGGUGCCUGUGUCCCUUCUCAAGUGACUAAGCAGAGCGAGGGGGAGGCAAGCCUCUUCUCACCACAGUGGGUGGGAUGGGGGAAAGCCCAGAGCCUUCAGCUUAGCUCCCCAGAGAUGUCUUUUUCCUAUUUCUCCAUACUUUGAUGACUCCCCAAGGCACUUAUAGAUCUCUGAGGGGACUGAUGAACUAAAUACUACAAGAUCUGUUUUUAGACCUCCCCCUGCAGAUCCUGCUCAGGGGUCUAACAUCUCAAUAGGGAACAUGGAGCUUCUGAUAAAACGAGACUAAAGGAAUAGAAUACAUUACAUUUAAAUCCCUGUGGAAAAAUUCUGAGAGAGAUGGGAAUACCAGACCACCUAACCUGCC
rnacentral:lncRNA from 1 species